rnacentral:rRNA from 1 species
CCAGACUCCUACGGGAGGCAGCAGUGGGGAAUAUUGGGCAAUGGGCGCAAGCCUGACCCAGCAACGCCGCGUGAAGGAAGAAGGCUUUCGGGUUGUAAACUUCUUUUGUCAGGGACGAAGCAGGUGACGGUACCUGACGAAUAAGCCACGGCUAACUACGUGCCAGCAGCCGCGGUAAUACGUAGGUGGCAAGCGUUAUCCGGAUUUACUGGGUGUAAAGGGCGUGUAGGCGGGGAAGCAAGUCAGAUGUGAAAACCACGGGCUCAACCUGUGGCCUGCAUUUGAAACUGUUUUUCUUGAGUACUGGGGAGGCAGACGGAAUUCCUAGUGUAGCGGUGAAAUGCGUAGAUAUCACGCAGAACUCCGAUUGCGAAGGCAGCAUACCGGCGCUCAACUGACGCUCAUGCACGAAAGCGUGGGUAUCGAACAGGAUUAGAUACCCUGGUAA